rnacentral:rRNA from 1 species
UACGUAGGGACCAAGCGUUGUUCGGAUUUACUGGGCGUAAAGGGCGCGUAGGCGGCAAUUCAAGUCAGCUGUGAAAUCUCCGGGCUUAACUCGGAACGGUCAGCUGAUACUGCUUUGCUAGAGUACAGAAGGGGCAAUCGGAAUUCUUGGUGUAGCGGUGAAAUGCGUAGAUAUCGUCAGGAACGCCGGUGGUGAAGACGGGUGACUGGGCUGGUUCUGACACAGAGGCACGAAAGCGUGGGGAGCGAACGGG